CGGAGCGGCCAGGGAGGGGAGGAGGCGAGAGCGCGCGUGUGCGGGACGCGGCGCGGGGGAGUGUGCGCAAGCCGCUGAGGCGCCGCAGCCAACAGGCGGCGGAGGGUGCAGCCGCUGGAGCGCCACCGCCGGUGGGGUGGGGGGCAAGGCUAUAAAGAAGGCCCAGAGGGAAACGUCUGUUCAUCAAGGCAAAUUUGUGAAUUGCUUCUUCCACCGAGUACUUGGUCUGCCCAGAAACACAGGCCUCAAUGUCGUCUGAGUUCAGAUGGCUCUGCAAGAAGAGGUGAAGG